GUUAAGUGUGGGCAGGCCUUUGUUUAGUGUGGGCAGGCCUUUGGCUGUGACACAGCACUCCUGCAGGAGACUCGGCUCUGGCGUGUCUGUAAGAAGUUUCUAGAGCGGGUUAGCUGAGGAUGGAAGGCCCACUCUGAACGUGAGAGGCACCCCCCUAUGGGGUGGGACAGAAUAAAAGUCAAGAAGGAGAAAGCUCGCCGGGCACCAGUGUCCAUCUCCUCCUGCUUCCUGGUCACGAACAUGCCGUGACCCCUCCCAUGGCCACAGCUACAACCCCCACUGUGACGCAAAGGAAAAAGGAACCCAUCUCCCCGUGCCACAUCAGGACUCCGCGCUCUCUCCUCCUCUACGCAGCAGAACUGGGGCAGCUAUUUCACGCUGUUGUCACCUCGAUGUCCUGCCAAGAUGAACGGCACCUUUGAACUGCGAGUUGCAAUAAACCUUUCUCCCAGCU